AAUGUGCUGUGCAGACAUCCCUGGUGCAGGCUGAAGGGAAAUCAGCAGAGGGCGCUGCCUCUUCAGAUGUGGUUAGCAUCUCAUUCAGGUGGGGACUUAACUUGACAGACUCAGUGAGCAGACAGAGUCCUUGUCUGUGAGUGAGGAGUUUGAGGAGAUCCUGAAGAAUUGUCCUGUGAGAUUGGUGCCCUCCAGGACCAAGUGUCAUUUCUUCUAUGAACAUGCUUCCUGACACGUGCUCAGUUCUUGUGCUCCUCGUAAUGCUCGGAAGGAGCAAUGGAGACUCAGUGACCCAGACAGAAGGCCUGCUCACUCUCACAGAGGGGUUGCCUGUGAUGCUGAACUGCACCUAUCAGACUACUUACUCAAAUACUUUCCUGUUCUGGUAUGUGCAGUAUCUCAACGAAGCCCCUCAGCUACUCCUGAGUAGCUUCAUGGACAACAAGAGGACCGAGCACCAAGGGUUCCACGCUACUCUCCAUAAGAGCAACAGCUCCUUCCAUCUGCAGAAGUCCUCAGCACAGCUGUCAGACUCUGCCCUGUACUACUGUGCUGUGAGUGACACAGUGAGAUAGACUGCAGGGGA